rnacentral:rRNA from 1 species
GACGAACGCUGGCGGCGUGCUUAACACAUGCAAGUCGAACGGAAAGUCCCUGCUUUUGUGGGGUGCUCGAGUGGCGAACGGGUGAGUAACACGUGAGUAACCUGCCCUUGACUUUGGGAUAACUUCAGGAAACUGGGGCUAAUACCGGAUAGGAGCUCCUGCUGCAUGGUGGGGGUUGGAAAGUUUCGGCGGUUGGGGAUGGACUCGCGUCUUAUCAGCUUGUUGGUGGGGUAGUGGCUUACCAAGGCUUUGACGGGUAGCCGGGCUGAGAGGGUGACCGGCCACAUUGGGACUGAGAUACGGCCCAGACUCCUACGGGAGGCAGCAGUGGGGAAUAUUGCACAAUGGGAGGAAGCAUGAUGCAGCAAAGCAGCGUGCGGGAUGACGGCAUUCGGGUUGUAAACCGAUUUCGCCUGUGACGAAGCGUGAGUGACGGUAAUGGGUAAAGAAGCACCGGCUAACUACGUG